rnacentral:sRNA from 1 species
CCUCCUCGAUCUGCUGCGGGCAGAUGAAGUGGAUGUGGCUGUCGAUGCCGCCGGCCGUCACGAUGUUGCCCUCGCAGCUGAUGAUCUCGGUGCCCGGGCCGAUCACGAUGUCCACGCCGCUCUGCACGUCCGGGUUGCCGGCCUUGCCGAUGGCGGCGAUGCGCCCGUCCUUCAGGCCGAUGUCGGCCUUCACGAUGCCCCAGUGGUCCAGGAUCAGCGCAUUCGUGAGCACCGUGUCGACGGCGCCGGCCGCGCGCGUCAUCUGGCCCUGCGCCAUGCCGUCGCGGAUG